CUUGAGGCCAGGAGUUAGAGACCAGCUUGGGCAAUAUAGCAAGACUCUUUCUACAAAAAAAAAAAAAAAAUUAAAAGUUAAAAAAUAAAUAGAUAAAAGAUUAGUGUGAAAUCAUUGAAAUAAACAGCAGAAGACUAAAACAUGCAUCUAUUAAAAAAACUACUUUUCGCCCUCUCCCUCUCCCUCUCCCUCCCGCUCUUGCUCUCGCUCUCCAUCUCCCUCUUUCUACGGUCUCCCUCUCUUGCGGAGCCUGGACUGUACUGCCAUGAUCUCGGUUCACUGCAACCUCCCUGCCUCAGGCUCCGGUGAUUCUCCUGCCCCGGCCUGCCGAGUGCCUGGGAUUCCAGGCACGCGCUGCCACUCCUGACUGGUUUUUGUAUUUUUGGUGGAGAUGGGGUUUCGCCGUGUUGACCGGGCUGGCCUCCAGCUCCUAGCCUCGGGUGAAGUGCCCGCCUCGGCCUCCUGAGGUGCUGGGAUUGCAGACGGAGUCUCGCUCACUCAAUGCUCAAUGUUGCCCAGGCUGGAGUGCAGUGGCGUGAUCUCGGCUUGCUACAACCUCCAUCUCCCAGCUGCCUGCCUUGGCCUCCCAAAGUGCUAAGAUUACAGCCUCUGCCCGCCCGCCACCCCAUCUAGGAAGUGAGCAGCGUCUCUGCUUGGCUGCCCAUCGUCUGGGAUGUGAGGAGCCCCUGUGCCUGGCCACCCCAUCUGGGAAGUGAGGCGCGCCUCUGCCUGGCUGCCACCACGUCUAGGAAGUGAGGAGCGUCUCUGCCUGGCCGCCCAUCAUCUGGGAUGUGAGGAGCCCCUCUGCCUGGCCGCCCCGUCUGGGAAGUGAGGAGUGCCUCUGCCCAGUCGCCCCAUCUGGGAGCUGCAUUUUAUGGAAGGACUUUGGCUUGACAAAGAAGACACCACAGUGACAUCUUUACAGGGCAUUUCCCCCCGACCCAGCCCCAAAAAUCCUGGUUGACAAGAUGCCAUCACCUCGGUCUGAAAAGCCAAAGUAUGGAUUAUGUGGAAGACUCAGAGGAGAAGAGCAGCCCUAUAAGGGGGUUUCCGUAAACCAGAAAAAAAUCUGUAACCAGCUAGGCCCCAAAAAGGUCAUGGCACUGGCCUGGCAGAGAGGUGGGUGUGGCUGGGUCUGCUGGGACUGCACACUGUUGGGACACCCCACCUUCACCCUGACCUCUUCCCUGCCCAGCUCCCUUGCCCCAAACAUUCCCCCUGGUGCCAUGGAGGCUACACUGUCAGAAAGUGAGCUGAGCCUGGUAGGGCUGUCUAGCACACAGAACUGCCAGUCGUAACAGGCAUCACUAAGCUGCAAGUCAAACAGUGAAGCACUGGGCUGCAGAAGAGACAUACAGAUCCCCGGGUCACUGGACAUACAAUCACUGACCUAGAUAGAUGUACUGUUGAUUAAUUAACAAAUUAAUGCAGAAAGGAGAGAAUAUGUAAUAAAUGGUGUUCAAAAAAAUUUUAGUUGGAUUAAUAUCUUAAAUGUAAAAAUAGAAACCCUGGAAGGGUCCAAAAAAGUAUAAGCAAAUGUGUAUAUAAUCUUGCAGUGGGUUAAGUCUUUUUUUUUUAGACAGAGUUUCGCUCGUGUUGCCCAGGCUGAAGUGCAGUGACACAAUCUCGGC
rnacentral:lncRNA from 1 species